rnacentral:lncRNA from 1 species
UUAAAUUACAUGCACGCAAUAGGGUUUCCUUGUCCCUCAAAAAACAUAUAUUCAAAUCAAUCAAAAAAAUAAAUAAUCAUAAGUAAUUAUCUGCCCGGCCCGCAAUACCAGAAACAAGCACAUUGCCCAGACGGAUUGCAAUAUCCACGAGCGGGGAAAUUUUUCCCAUUUCCAGAAUGACGAGAAACGCAUGCAGCAUUACAAAUUUGGUCACUACAAACUUUUCCUUUUAAAUCUAUUUGCUCUGCACAUAUUCUCGCCCCUUCGAUCUUCGUCAUCUCCGUUCCUGUAUUAUUGGACACGGAAUUUUAAUUAUAUACAAAAAUCGUAUUAGGAUUCAGGACCGAUCUAUUUUGAAAAUAUAUAGAUCUUUUGGUGUAACGUUGGGGUACGAUAUAUCAUGAACAGGGUUCUUAAUCGUCUCGAAAAAUAAUUUCAAAAGUCAAAGUCGAUAUCGAAAAAUUUUGAAAUAUACAUGAAGAAGAAAUAUACCUGUAAUUACCAAGAAGAGAAGCACUGUAAUGGCUGCAGCUGAAAGCUUCAUAUUCUUA